rnacentral:rRNA from 1 species
CGUCGCCGCGGGAAAACGAAGGGGGUUAGCGUUGUUCGGAAUUACUGGGCGUAAAGGGCGCGUAGGCGGCCAUUCAAGUUAGAGGUGAAAGCCUGGAGCUCAACUCCAGAAUUGCCUUUAAGACUGCAUCGCUUGAACGUCGGAGAGGUGAGUGGAAUUCCGAGUGUAGAGGUGAAAUUCGUAGAUAUUCGGAAGAACACCAGUGGCGAAGGCGGCUCACUGGACGACUGUUGACGCUGAGGUACGAAAGCGUGGGGAGCAAACAGGAUUAGAUACCCGCGUAGUCCCUGUCUCUUAUACA